GGAGUCGGCCGGACAGUCGCUCUUUCCGCCGCUGGCGCGAAGGGGAGGAAAGUCCGGGCUCCGCAGGGCAGGGUGCCAGGUAACGCCUGGGGGGCGCGAGCCUACGGAAAGUGCCACAGAAAAGAUACCGCCUACCCCGUCGUUCGACGGGGCGGUAAGGGUGAAAUGGUGCGGUAAGAGCGCACCGCGGAUCUGGUAACAGGUUCGGCACGGUAAACCCCACCCGGAGCAAGACCAAAUAGGGGGACAGGCGGCCUCGGCCGCGGCAUGUGGCCCGCAUGUGUCCCCGGGUAGGUCGCUAGAGGCCUGCGGUGACGCGGGUCCCAGAUGAAUGGCUGUCCUCGACAGAACCCGGCUUACAGGCUGGCUCCCGCC
rnacentral:RNase_P_RNA from 2 species